rnacentral:ncRNA from 1 species
UAUCACAGCAUUGAUAGGACUUAUGCGGAAUACCACCGCGUACCCAGGAGAACUGGGAUUGGACUCCUAAAGAGGAGAAAACAAAUG